rnacentral:rRNA from 1 species
AUGUAUGUGAGGGGCCUUGCUCGCCGACUCCACAAGAUCAGAACACCUGCGCUCCUCUUCAAGCUAGACAUCUGUAAUGCUUUCGAAUCGGUUAGAUGGGAAUACAUUAUCGACCUUCUUCAGCGGAUGGGGUUCCUGCCGCGGUUUCGGGAAUGGAUCAUCGCCUUGCUCCGCUCGUAUUCUACGAGGAUCCUCCUCAACGGGGUGCCUGGACCUCUCAUUAAGCACGGCUGUGGUUUCCGGCUAGGAGACCCAAUCUCUCUGUUGCUUUUCGUCAUCGCCAUUGACCCUUUGCAACAAAUUCUUGAUAUUGCUACCCAUCGUGGUCUUUUGCACAAGAUCAGAGGGCGAAGGGCAAUCUUCUGCAUGUCUCUGUUUGCCGAUGAUGCGGUUGUUUUCAUGGCUCCCAUUAAGCAAGAUAUUGACAACUUCGCUCAGAUCCCGGAAUACUUUGGCAAGGUGAUAGGACUUUGUACUAAUUUUCAAAAGAGUUCAGUCGUCCCAAUUAGGUGCGAGAACAUCAACUUGGACGCAACCCUUGUUGCGAUGCCCGCGGCCCGUGCCUCCUUUCCCAUCAAGUAUUUGGGUCUUCCGCUAUCAGUCUAG